GAUGAAGAACGCAGCGAAAUGCGAUAAGUAAUGUGAAUUGCAGAAUUCAGUGAAUCAUCGAAUCUUUGAACGCACAUUGCGCCCGCCAGUAUUCUGGCGGGCAUGCCUGUUCGAGCGUCAUUUCAACCAUCAAGCCCCAGGCUUGUGUUGGGGACCUGCGGCUCCCGCAGGCCCUGAAAACCAGUGGCGGGCUCGCUGUCACACCGGGCGUAGUAGAUUUUAUCUCGCUCAGGGCGUGCUGCGGGUUCCGGCCGUUAAAAAGCCUUUUUUACCCAAGGUUGACCUCGGAUCAGGUAGGAAGACCCGCUGAACUUAAGCAUAUCAAUAAGCGGAGGA
rnacentral:misc_RNA from 1 species